rnacentral:rRNA from 1 species
UACGGAGGGAGCUAGCGUUGUUCGGAAUUACUGGGCGUAAAGCGCACGUAGGCGGCUUUUAAGUCAGGGUGAAUCCCGGGGCUCAACCCCGGAACUGCCCUUGAAACUGGAGAGCUAGAAUCUUGGAGAGGCGAGUGGAAUUCCGAGUGUAGAGGUGAAAUUCGUAGAUAUUCGGAAGAACACCAGUGGCGAAGGCGACUCGCUGGACAAGUAUUGACGCUGAGGUGCGAAAGCGUGGGGAGCAAACAGGG